rnacentral:lncRNA from 1 species
UGAGCUGCGACUGUGCAACCAACUUAGGAUUCAAAACUCAUUACCAGAUGUCGCCAAUGUCGCCUUUGUUGUUGUUACAUCGUGAAACGAGGCGAAAAGGGCGAAACAAAAUUGUAGCUAAUAUGUACAUAUAUUCCUGUGAUUUAAAUUACCAAAUUGAAUUUCGUGCUAUGUAUGCAUAGGCCUACUGUCAGUCAUUCCAACAAGUUGACUUAGCGCUCAGUCAAUUUCCAUCCAUUAGGCCCAUCAUGCUGUCAAAGGCCCAAAACUCAUGUUUGAAGAUGAAGACCACAUGUAGUGGAAUACAAAUCUGCCGAGAUAAGGAUCUUUUCUGAAUCUUUCAAUUUUGGUGGUGUACCCUGCCAGGCUGCCACAGCAUGUUUGUUAUGUAUGUUUUUACUUCUGUUUUAGAAGACAACCCAGCUAUUAAGAGAUAGUUUCAGAGACAUGAAGCGUGUGAAGUGAAUAACCUGCCAUGUGUAUGAACAUGUACCAGAUCUGCUUGAUGAAAGUCAAAUGCCUACUAAAUUCAUCACCCAUAUGAUAAGCACCAGGAAAUUUAUCUCAACAUGUGGAGUAAUGCUGUUGAUUGAUGUGAAUUUAAUUUUUACGGUUUUUUCAUCAUGAGCAUUUCAGUGUGCUUAUUAGAUCAGUUUCUUAAUGGAAUCGUGUGCUCCUGGCACGGAGAUUCUUGUGCCAAUGCUGACCUUUGUCCAUGAUGGAAGAGAGACUUCCAACAACAUUCUUCUUCAUCCUUAUCUUCGCGACGCACGCUCAUCUAGCUUCACUGCUUUUAAACACAAUUUGUUUUACUUCACUGGUGACUUGGCGAGUUUCUGGACCACUUCGCUACCCUUUGCUGUUCCACACCUGCAGUCACUCACCACGGGAUUAUGCCUAGGUAAUGCAAAGGAAAUUUCGAGAAGAUGGACACCAUAACGUCGCCGGUAUCUCCAAAGUGUCAGCGCGGAUCAUCAUUUGUUGUUGGUAAUAUGUGUUAGUGUUAGGUAACCCGUUGUCUGCCACGCCUUCGUUCUCCCCUAGUUCCUUUGCACGGGCCGCGCUGGUGCUGGUCGACCUCGUGGAUUUCAUGCCGCGAGGUCGGAAUGUCGCCAAGCCCAAACUUUGCCGCAAGGCAAGCCUGUUAGGCAAUGCACCAUAGGGACUUCCCCCUUGUCGAUACGGUGAUGGAUUCUCCUGUCACCGUGUCAGCCCGGACUUGUCAGCAAUGGCAAGUCCCACUUUGG